AACCCAUGGUUAGGACAUUUUCUGAGUAAAGACUUGAACCUCUCUCAGGCCUCACAAAAUGGUUCAUCUAUGCCUUGCCUGAAAGUAGUAAUCUCUUAUUUUGCCU